rnacentral:rRNA from 1 species
GACGAACGCUGGCGGCGUGCUUAACACAUGCAAGUCGAGCGGAAAGGCCUCUUUGGGGGUACUCGAGCGGCGAACGGGUGAGUAACACGUGAGUAACCUGCCCUUCACUUUGGGAUAACCCUCGGAAACGGGGGCUAAUACCGGAUAUGACUGCUGGCCGCAUGGUUGGUGGUGGAAAGAUUUGUUGGUGGGGGAUGGGCUCGCGGCCUAUCAGCUUGUUGGUGGGGUGAUGGCCUACCAAGGCGACGACGGGUAGCCGGCCUGAGAGGGCGUCCGGCCACACUGGGACUGAGACACGGCCCAGACUCCUACGGGAGGCAGCAGUGGGGAAUAUUGCACAAUGGGCGGAAGCCUGAUGCAGCGACGCCGCGUGAGGGAUGACGGCCUUCGGGUUGUAAACCUCUUUCAGCCGGGACGAAGGCCUUUGGGUUGACGGUACCGGCAGAAGAAGCGCCGGCCAACUACGUGCCAGCAGCCGCCGUAA